rnacentral:misc_RNA from 1 species
CAGGGUUGAUCAGCAAUAAAAUGUGAUGCAAUAUUGAGUUCCAGGGUCUAUCCAAUGAAUACUUUAAAGAAAAAUUAAAACCGUUGUAACUUCUCAUGGACCCAUGAAUAUUUGAUUAUAGAAUAGGUGUUUUGUUUGGGAAUUAAACCAGCUUCUUAUUCGGGUGGCCAAGAAGUCUUGACUCAAUCGCAAGCGCUUCAACCACGACAGAUUCUACGACUUCCACAUCACCUCUACAGGGCGGAUUAUAUUAAUAUGUGCUUUAAAUUUGACAAUUGCAAAGAUCAUUCUUCAUUCAGUAAGAACUGAAGAAGUGGAUAAAGAUAUGUUAAUUACAAUUAGGUACAAUAACAAUAUGAAGUUAUUACCAUCAAAUUUAAAUAUAUAAAAAUUAACGCAUUUAAAUAGUUAUAUCAUUCUAACUGAGAUAAAU